rnacentral:rRNA from 1 species
GAUGAACGCUGGCGGCGUGCCUAAUACAUGCAAGCCGAGCGAACGGACGAGAAGCUUGCUUCUCUGAUGUUAGCGGCGGACGGGUGAGUAACACGUGGAUAACCUACCUAUAAGACUGGGAUAACUUCGGGAAACCGUAGCUAAUACCGGAUAAUAUUUUGAACCGCAUGGUUCAAAAGUGAAAGACGGUCUUGCUGUCACUUAUAGAUGGAUCCGCGCUGCAUUAGCUAGUUGGUAAGGUAACGGCUUACCAAGGCAACGAUGCAUAGCCGACCUGAGAGGGUGAUCGGCCACACUGGAACUGAGACACGGUCCAGACUCCUACGGGAGGCAGCAGUAGGGAAUCUUCCGCAAUGGGCGAAAGCCUGACGGAGCAACGCCGCGUGAGUGAUGAAGGUCUUCGGAUCGUAAAACUCUGUUAUUAGGGAAGAACAUAUGUGUAAGUAACUGUGCACAUCUUGACGGUACCUAAUCAGAAAGCCACGGCUAACUACGUGCCAGCAGCCGCGGUAAUACGUAGGUGGCAAGCGUUAUCCGGAAUUAUUGGGCGUAAAGCGCGCGUAGGCGGUUUUUUAAGUCUGAUGUGAAAGCCCACGGCUCAACCGUGGAGGGUCAUUGGAAACUGGAAAACUUGAGUGCAGAAGAGGAAAGUGGAAUUCCAUGUGUAGCGGUGAAAUGCGCAGAGAUAUGGAGGAACACCAGUGGCGAAGGCGACUUUCUGGUCUGUAACUGACGCUGAUGUGCGAAAGCGUGGGGAUCAAACAGGAUUAGAUACCCUGGUAGUCCACGCCGUAAACGAUGAGUGCUAAGUGUUAGGGGGUUUCCGCCCCUUAGUGCUGCAGCUAACGCAUUAAGCACUCCGCCUGGGGAGUACGACCGCAAGGUUGAAACUCAAAGGAAUUGACGGGGACCCGCACAAGCGGUGGAGCAUGUGGUUUAAUUCGAAGCAACGCGAAGAACCUUACCAAAUCUUGACAUCCUUUGACAACUCUAGAGAUAGAGCCUUCCCCUUCGGGGGACAAAGUGACAGGUGGUGCAUGGUUGUCGUCAGCUCGUGUCGUGAGAUGUUGGGCUAAGUCCCGCAACGAGCGCAACCCUUAAGCUUAGUUGCCAUCAUUAAGUUGGGCACUCUAAGUUGACUGCCGGUGACAAACCGGAGGAAGGUGGGGAUGACGUCAAAUCAUCAUGCCCCUUAUGAUUUGGGCUACACACGUGCUACAAUGGACAAUACAAAGGGCAGCGAAACCGCGAGGUCAAGCAAAUCCCAUAAAGUUGUUCUCAGUUCGGAUUGUAGUCUGCAACUCGACUACAUGAAGCUGGAAUCGCUAGUAAUCGUAGAUCAGCAUGCUACGGUGAAUACGUUCCCGGGUCU